rnacentral:lncRNA from 1 species
CUCGAAGCCUGGCUUGGAGAAGCCCAAGCUGGUCCCCGUAGAGGCAGCCAUGCAGGGUUAUGUGCUUCCAGAUUUCUGGUAUUAAGAACAGAGUGGCUGGUUUACUGAAACAAGAUGAAGAGAGAUUUGGGAAGAAAAUCAAGAGUUCGAUUUGGAUUUUAAAAUUUAAGUACCUUUGAGACAUCCAGGUGGAGAUGUCAAGAGGACAUUUGGAAAUACUGGAGUAGAAGUCAAGGGAGAGAUCCUGAGUGAAGGUCACACACACUGAGAGUGUGGAUGGCGCGCCAGGGGCAGGGGUUCCAAGAAGACCUAGGACUUAGUCCUGAGAAACACUGACUGCUAAAGGUUAGACGAAAGAUGAGAAGCUGGCCAUAAAUAAAGACUAAAACGGG